GGGUUGUGAGGUUAAGCGACUAAGCGUACACGGUGGAUGCCCUGGCAGUCAGAGGCGAUGAAGGGCGUGCUAAUCUGCGAUAAGCGCCGGUAAGGUGAUAUGAACCGUUAUAACCGGCGAUACCCGAAUGGGGAAACCCAGUGUGACUCGUCACACUAUCAUUAACUGAAUCCAUAGGUUAAUGAGGCGAACCGGGGGAACUGAAACAUCUAAGUACCCCGAGGAAAAGAAAUCAACCGAGAUUCCCCCAGUA
rnacentral:rRNA from 2 species